rnacentral:pre_miRNA from 1 species
GACUCACUCAACCUGGGUGUGAUGCUUGCCUAUCUAUCAGGCCCUAGUGGUCAUCACAACCUUUUUGAGUGAGCGA